CCUACGGGAGGCUGCAGUGAGGAAUAUUGGUCAAUGGGCGAGAGCCUGAACCAGCCAAGUCGCGUGAAGGAUGACUGUCUUAUGGAUUGUAAACUUCUUUUAUACGGGAAUAACAAGAGCCACGUGUGGCUCCCUGCAUGUACCGUAUGAAUAAGCAUCGGCUAACUCCGUGCCAGCAGCCGCGGUAAUACGGAGGAUGCGAGCGUUAUCCGGAUUUAUUGGGUUUAAAGGGUGCGUAGGCGGCCUGUUAAGUCAGCGGUGAAAUCUAGGAGCUUAACUCCUAAAUUGCCAUUGAUACUGGCGGGCUUGAGUGUAGAUGAGGUAGGCGGAAUGCGUGGUGUAGCGGUGGAAUGCAUAGAUAUCACGCAGAACUCCGAUUGCGAAGGCAGCUUACUAAGGUACAACUGACGCUGAAGCACGAAAGCGUGGGUAUCAAACAG
rnacentral:rRNA from 1 species